rnacentral:rRNA from 1 species
UACGCAAGUAGUGAGGAAGCGGGGAGUGACGUCAAAGUCAGCACGGCCCUUACGUCCAGGGCUACACACGUGCUACAAUGGCCGAUACAGAGGGCAGCUACCUGGUGACAGGAUGCAAAUCUCCAAAGUCGGUCUCAGUUCGGAUCGGAGUCUGCAACCCGACUCCGUGAAGUUGGAUUCGCUAGUAAUCGCGCAUCCAGCCAUGGCGCGGUGAAUACGUUCCCGGGCCUU